rnacentral:hammerhead_ribozyme from 1 species
GCACUGCUGACGAGUCCCAAACAGGACGAGACCGUUGUCUAGUGC